UCUGGCAAAUUCCCUUGGAUUUCAUCUCCUUUAAAUACACCAUGUUAAUGUCACUGUUUCUGUCUGGGUUCUGGAGCUUUACUUACAAAUCCUCUUGAACCAUUUGAGGUGCAAGCUUCUUCAUUUACACAGCCCCUCAAGGAGGAUACUGUGGAGUUCCACGGAGGGAGGCUGCACAAGAAGUGAGGCUAUAGCAGCUGUUGGUUCUGCUCUUCCCCAUUUUGUUCUCAUCAGCCUCUGAGUGCAGAAGGCGGAGUGGGUUGGAGAGAACUUCAGAAACCUUGAAGGCAGAAACCAUUUUAUAGGGGAGGAAAAGGAAUCUCAGGGAAGUUGAAGUAACUGGCUCAAGGCAAGUGACUGCAGGACGUGAAAGUGAACAACCACUUCACUCUACUUCACUCCAGUCCCUCGUGUCUACCGGAUUCAGUUGGAGAGGGUGGAGUUGGUUCACACCUGGAACAACUGAGUGCCUGCUACAUGCUAAGCAUUGUGGGAUAUAAAGAUUUUAAAAGAUCAAGCCCAUGAUCUCAAGAAGCUUACAGUCUGGAGGAAAAGCAACAAGACGGGACUGAUGCCUGGGAGAUGAAAUGAAACUUUCAGACGAAAGGGUUGUAUUUCUACAAAGCACACACGGUUCAGUAUUACAGGUCUCUGCCCUUGAAGAAGAUUCCAGCUGCUGGAGUUUUGCCUAUGUGAUGUUUCAGAUUUAGAUUCCCUCCUCCUUGAUCAGGCUCCUCUGUCUUUCUAAAGCUCAUACUAUACAUAUAAUUUCCAUUCAAAUUCAAAAUCUUUCUGAUUAUUGUAGUGAAUGCAAUGUUAUUCAAGGAUUUUUUUUUUCUGAAAGAGCACCUAUCUGACAUGCAUUUUUAAUUUUAUGUGCAAUAUGCAAAUGUCAUCACUGUAGUUGUUAACUGCAGUACAGGAUUGCAAUUAACUAUGGAGCUGUGCAUUUUAGUUAUAUGCUAAUGCUAAUGAGAUUUUCAUAAAGCAAGUCCAAUUACCAGCCCUAUUUUUUAACUGCAAGAGCUAGUGUAAAGCAAAGGUGUUGACUUCCUUUGGAAUAAAUUACCCUUUGUCCUUGGCUCCUUCAUCAUAUUCAAUCAUCCUAAAAAGUAACUCCUGCUACUUUGAAUAUUUUAUCCUGCCUUGUUCUACAGUACAAUAUUAAUGGAGACUGUUUAGAUUGUUUAGAAACCAAUUUACACUGCACAGGCAGGGGGAAAACUUCCUCCCAAAGUAAACUGCUCCAGCAGAGGAGCAGAGCUUUGAAUAGUCAAAGUAAACAGGACCUAGAGGAGACUGAAGACUCAGACAGUGAAUGAGCAAAAAUAAACCACAAGAGAGCACAUACAGUGUUACCUUGGAGUGAGGAAGCUGCAUGCUGUGAAUGGUUAUUUAAACUCAGAUUUAUGAUCAGAUGUGUCACUGGCUGAGAAGAAUAACCUUGGAAGGAGAGUCAUUCAUUCAUUCAUUAUUCAAAGCACAGUUCUGGGGGCUUCUGUGUGCCAGAUGCUGAACUAGGCAUGGAGGGUUCAAGUAAAAAUAAGAUGAGGAGGGGAGGGUUACUUAGGGGUUAGAAGUGAAGGGGGUUUUCAUGUUAUAUUUCUGUGUUAAUUGAUUCCUUUACAAAAUGAAAGUGUUCAUGAAUUACUUGGGCAAUUAAAACAUGAG